rnacentral:rRNA from 1 species
GGGCUCACACAAGCGGUGGAGGAUGUGGCUUAAUUCGAGGCUACGCGAAGAACCUUAUCCUAGUCUUGACAUGCUUGGGAAUCUGCCUGAAAGGGCGGAGUGCCUUCGGGAACCCUUGCACAGGUGCUGCAUGGCUGUCGUCAGCUCGUGUCGUGAGAUGUCGGGUUAAGUCCCUUAACGAGCGAAACCCCUGUCUCUAGUUGCCAGCGAGUAAAGUCGGGGACUCUAGAGAGACUGCCGGUGUUAAACCGGAGGAAGGUGGGGAUGACGUCAAGUCCUCAUGGCCUUUAUGAUUAGGGCUGCACACGUCCUACAAUGCGUCGUACAAAGGGAAGCGAACCCGUGAGGGGAAGCAAACCUCAAAAAGCGGCGCUCAGUUCGGAUUGCAGGCUGCAACUCGCCUGCAUGAAGCUGGAAUCGCUAGUAAUCGCGGGUCAGCAUACCGCGGUGAAUGUGUUCCUGAGCCUU